UACGGAGGGUGCAAGCGUUGCUCGGAAUUAUUGGGCGUAAAGGGUAGGUAGGUGGUCUUAUUUGUCUGGGGUGAAAGCCUUGAGCUUAACUCAAGAAGUGCCCCAGAAACGGUAAGACUAGAGUCCUGGAGAGGGUCGUGGAAUUCCCGGUGUAGCGGUGAAAUGCGCAGAUAUCGGGAGGAACACCAAUGGCGAAGGCAGCUCGCUGGGACGUUACUGACGCUGAGACGCGAAAGCGUGGGGAGCAAACAGG
rnacentral:rRNA from 1 species